GGGAAAUGCACAGACUUUUGUUUGGCGUGUUUAUACAAAUACGUCCUUCUUUCUGCCCCGAGGUCAGGCUCCUCUCAGCCGGCUGUAGAGGGACGAAGAGGAAGGUGGCUCUGUCCUGCGUUCCUCCACCACCCCAGGCCAUGGCCUCUAAAGCACUCCUCUGGGACCCCACCAGAGACCAGAGAACCAGAGAACCAGAGACCCAGAGACCCAGAGACCCAGAGACCCAGAGACCCAGAGACCCAGAGGACCAGAGACCAGAGAACCAGGCAUGCAUGGUGCUGCUCUUUUCAUGUAAACACAGCCCACUUGAAUUGAAUAUCUGAGAAAAGCUGUGGCCCACUGUACAAUUUUUUCCCCUCACCGUCUUCUUUCAUGGCAGUGUUAUGUUUGGCUCUCCUCAGGACAUAUGUCAUUGGGGAGUGCGUGCAGAGGCUGGAUAAUUAAUGCUACCUCAAAGCAGGCAUAAAAAAGGGGGGAGAUAUUUAUUAGGUAGCACUUUAGCUGCUUGUCAUGGGUGCAUGUCAGGCCUGUAAAACAAAGUUUGAACGAGCAUGUCAGAAAAUAGAAUAGUGUAACUACUGCUGUUGCUGUUGGUGCUCCAGCAGAGAAAUCCCUCACUCACAAAGAUGUCCUUGGUUUGCUCUGAUUCAUACAUUUACUGUAUGAAUAAAUUGUGACUAAAGGGUUUCUCCUUCUCCCAUCUUGUGCCUAGCGAGGUAUUUAUUUGUUGUAAUCAAGUGGACAGAGUAGUGUUUGUCCCCUGGUGCCCACGCCUCCUCUAAUAGGAAGGGGAUGGGUUGAAACCCAAAUUGCACACUAUUCUCUAUAUAGUGCACUACAUUUGAGCAGAGUCCUAUAGACCUUGGUCAAAAGUAGUGCAUUACAUAGGGAAUAGGGUGCUUUUUGGGACAAGCACAUGGAGUGAGUUUGUAUACACCAGAAGCGUCUGCUAAUGCAUGAUAAUUUAUGAAGGUCGUUCUCUUGGUGGUUAUGGAAGCAAAGGAUUGUUUCAUUUUCUGCUGGAAGCGAAUAAAUCCCAAUCUCAGGUUGGUGUGAGUGACUGAGCGUGUGCAUGAGGUACCUGUCAUUGUGACUAAGAUCAGCUCUCCCCUUCAGCCAUUUGUCCCUUUUGCACAUAUUGGUCAAGGGUGUAAACAUUUUGAAUUAUGUCGUAUUAGGUCGUACUAUGUGUCUCUCUGCAGCUCAUUUUCAGAGGUAAUCCCUUCCUCUUUUUUCUUUGUGCUCUUCCUCACGUUACAUCUGCCUCUUUUGUCUUUCUCUAUUCUCUCCUUUUGUCUUCCAUCCUAACUUCCUCUCCCUGUCCUCCCCUUCCCUCUUCACAUGUUUGAAUAUUAAUCAUUCCUUCCUCUUGUAUUUAAUAAAAUCCCCAUAUGUAAAGAAACGCUGGCUUCCACCUAUCCAACCGCAUUGGAUCAGUAAUUCAUUCGAGGGAAAAGAGGAAGGAAGGAUGCAUGUUGUAAGUAUUUCACCAAGGCCCUAUUCCCGUUUCACCUCCUCCCUGGCCUGGGUGAGAGAGUGG
rnacentral:lncRNA from 13 species